AACUUAGAUUUUGAUAUAUUACAGUUGUAUUUUACUUAAAAAUUCACGGAGAUAUUAAUGUUCAAAAUCGGGAGCAUAUUUUGGUAUGUGUCUAAAAUUAGCGAAAAUCGGCAUAUCAAAUAUUAACUCCAGCGUUUGUUUGAUUAAUGACAUAUCAGGCUAACUGGUAUUUCAGCGAAUUGUCGUUCGGGUUUGUAAGGGAUAUGGCGUAGAUUAAGACAUCUUACAUGUAAGUCUUAGCUCAUUGUUUCCUGAAAUAUGAACGUUCAAAAUUAUGAAAGUAUUUAAUUGGUCUUUGGCUUUGCAAACUUAAAGGUACGGCGCAAACUUGAAGGCAGGCGCUUAAAUUUUUCUUAAAUAGCCUAAUUUUUUUAUGUUUUACAUGGGUUCAAAACAAAGUUGAUUAUUUCUCGGUUAGAGCAGGAUGAAUAUUAUUAUUUAAUGAAGGAAAUAAUAUUGCUUUUUGCAAAUACACAUCACAGUAUUAACGCUACUAUUUUGUUACGUUUUGUUCCAAAAAUGUUGGAUGUCUCUGGGGAGUUGCUUGUUAUGUCUUUAAUUAUGGAGUUGUAUGGUUUGAUCGUGUUUCAUUCUCAGUUUAUUCUGAACUUGCCAAGAUUAAGAAAGGCAAAAGAGUUUGGGUGUUCUUAACACGAUUUCAGAACGUUGCAGAAGUUAGAAAAUUCAUUCAAUGUGAGAUUAGAAAAUUCGCAAUUCCAUUGUGACAGCAUGCCCUAAUUCAGAACUACGAACGAUCCAUGACGAUCCUUCGCGAUGCAGUGGUCUCAUGAAAUAAUUAAGGAAACGUAUUCGUGCUGGGAACAUAUGCGGAUUUCGGACGAAUAAAUCUUGCUUUUAUUUUGUAGAUAAUAAUACUUUGUUUCAUAAUAAACGAUUUGUCAAGUGUCAUUUAUUUACUGGUAAUAGUGCAUGUUUCAGUCGGGCAACUCUUGAUUAAUAUUUGAUACGCCGUUUUUUGCAUAUUUCAGACACAUCCAGAAAUAUGCUCCCGAUUUUAAACAUCAAUAUCUCUGCGAAUUUUUUAGUGAAAUACAACUGUAAUAUAUCAAAAUCUAAGUUAGUCAUUCCUCUAUUUGAUGCAAGUUAUUUCUCAUUAAAAGCUUUACUUAUUUACAAGUUAUUACGAAUCAAACCGGAGUACUUUUUUUUGGGACACCCGGUAUAAGUAGCUACAAAUUGCCUCAACGAAAACACAUCGAAUCUUAAUGUUGCUUUUAGGACGUGUACUUCAAGACUACUAUACCUACACUGAGAACCAACAGUUUGAAGUUUAGACUAGUGAGAAUCUACCACAAAGGACGUGUAUUUCAAGACCACUACCUACACUGAGAACCAACAGUUUGAAGUUUAGACUAGUGAGAAUCUCGGCCACAAAGAACGUGUAUUUCAAAACCACUACCUACACAGAGAACCAACAGUUUGAAGUUUAGACUAGUGAGAAUCUACCAUAAAGAACGUGUAUUUCAAGACCACUACCUACACUGAGAACCAACAAUUUGAAGUUUAGACUAGUGAGAAUCUACCACAAAGGAUGUGUAUUUCAAGACCACUACAUACACUGAGAACCCGCAACAGUUUGAAGUUAAGACUAACGCUUCCUCCGAAAAGUUAUAUUAUAUAGUCAAUACAAAAAUUCUAAACAUCUUUUAUAUUUUAAAUAAGGAAGAAAAUUCCUUGCUAGCAAAGAUAUUUUAAAUAUUUUAACUUCUUUACAUAUUUCAUUCGCCAUAAAGUCAAGUGUGCGGUUAAUAUCGGAAGCUCAUUUCCUUAAGAGUUUGCUAAAAACAGAGGAAGCCCUCGUGUUCAAUAUUAGACCGUUGGUUAAAUUAACACAUGCACCAACUGGAAAACAAAACUCUUUUAUUUUCCAGUUUUUUAAGACUCUCACUUCUGAGUUCUGGCUAUGAAACUUGUCAAUAAAAUAACAAAAUACUCGACAAUGUUAAAAAAUGCUUUUUUAACUUCUGUCUGGUUAAAAUCAUCCUAUCUAUUACAAAACAUUCCCCCCCCCCCCACACUUUCUUCAUAUAAAUGUUGGGUCCGAAAGAAAGGUGCAAUCUUUCUGGUUACUUGUAGGUUUGCUUAUCGUGAUAAAUAACUAUUUAUUUGGAAAACACCAAGUUUGUUUUACGUCGUAAAGCUUUCGAUGCGUGGGCCAAGGCCCAAGAUCUUCAUUGAUAUUGUAAUGCUUAAAUCAUGCCUGUAUGUAGACUCCAAUUUUGUGAAGGAAGCGAAUGCUUUUUCAAACUGUUCGGCAGUAACCGAGGGUUGAAUAGCUAUAGUCAUACUUAGUGUUGCAUAUGAUUUUAUCAGCCAUGGUCCACGACUCAAACAUAACAUGUAGUUAACAAUAUGAUUUUUUUUAUCAUACAGCGACAGUUUCAUUCACUUAAAUAUUUUUAACUACGUCUACGUGUAUUCGAGCUUAGAAAUGUUUCACCAUAUCAAGGAUGGAUUGACUGGAAUCAU